rnacentral:tRNA from 2 species
GGGCCCGUAGUCUAGCGGUAGGAUUGAAAGCAAUUCCCUAAGGCCCGCCUCACGCGCGGGAGAUCCCGGGUUCAAAUCCCGGCGGGCCCA